UACGUAGGUGGCAAGCGUUGUCCGGAUUCACUGGGCGUAAAGCGCGCGCAGGCGGUCUUCUACGUCUGGGGUGAAAACCCGGGGCUCAACCCCGGGACUGCCUUGGAUACGGGAAGACUUGAGGAUCGGAGAGGCAAGGGGAAUUCCACGUGUAGCGGUGAAAUGCGUAGAGAUGUGGAGGAACACCGAUGGCGAAGGCAGCCCCCUGGGUCAAGAUUGACGCUCAUGCACGAAAGCGUGGGGAGCAAACAGG
rnacentral:rRNA from 1 species